rnacentral:rRNA from 1 species
UACGAAGGGGGCUAGCGUUGUUCGGAAUCACUGGGCGUAAAGCGCACGUAGGCGGAUCUUUAAGUCAGGGGUGAAAUCCCGAGGCUCAACCUCGGAACUGCCUUUGAUACUGGGGAUCUCGAGUCCGGGGAGAGGUGAGUGGAACUGCGAGUGUAGAGGUGAAAUUCGUAGAUAUUCGCAAGAACACCAGUGGCGAAGGCGGCUCACUGGCCCGGAACUGACGCUGAGGUGCGAAAGCGUGGGGGAGCAAACAGGG